rnacentral:rRNA from 1 species
UGGGGGAAUUUUUGGACAAUGGGGGGAAACCCCUGAUCCAGCCAUCCCGCGUGUGCGAUGAAGGCCUUCGGGUUGUAAAGCACUUUUGGCAGGAAAGAAACGUCGCGGGUUAAUACCCCGCGAAACUGACGGUACCUGCAGAAUAAGCACCGGCUAACUACGUGCCAGCAGCCGCGGUAAUACGUAGGGUGCAAGCGUUAAUCGGAAUUACUGGGCGUAAAGCGUGCGCAGGCGGUUCGGAAAGAAAGAUGUGAAAUCCCAGAGCUUAACUUUGGAACUGCAUUUUUAACUACCGGGCUAGAGUGUGUCAGAGGGAGGUGGAAUUCCGCGUGUAGCAGUGAAAUGCGUAGAUAUGCGGAGGAACACCGAUGGCGAAGGCAGCCUCCUGGGGAUAACACUGACGCUCAUGCACGAAAGCGUGGGGGAGCAAACAGGAUUAGAUACCCUGGGUAGUCCACGCCCCUAAAACGAUGUCAACUAGCUGUUGGGGGCCUUCGGGCCUUGGUAGCGCAGCUAACGCGUGAAGUUGACCGCCUGGGGAGUACGGUC